rnacentral:rRNA from 1 species
UGGGGAAUAUUGCACAAUGGGCGAAAGCCUGAUGCAGCAACGCCGCGUGAGUGAUGAAGGUCUUCGGAUUGUAAAGCUCUGUCUUUUAGGACGAUAAUGACGGUACCAAAGGAGGAAGCCACGGCUAACUACGUGCCAGCAGCCGCGGUAAUACGUAGGUGGCGAGCGUUGUCCGGAUUUACUGGGCGUAAAGGGUGCGUAGGCGGAUGUUUAAGUGAGAUGUGAAAUACCCGGGCUUAACUUGGGUGCUGCAUUUCAAACUGGAUAUCUAGAGUGCAGGAGAGGAGAAUGGAAUUCCUAGUGUAGCGGUGAAAUGCGUAGAGAUUAGGAAGAACACCAGUGGCGAAGGCGAUUCUCUGGACUGUAGCUGACGCUGAGGCACGAAAGCGUGGGUAGCAAACAGGAUUAGAUACCCUGGUAGUCCACGCCGUAAACGAUGAGUACUAGGGUGUAGGAGGUAUCGACCCCUUCUGUGCCGCAGUAAACACAUUAAAGUACUCCGCCUGGGGAAGUACGAUCGCAAGAUUA